AGAGUUUGAUCAUGGCUCAGAACGAACGCUGGCGGCGUGUCUUAAGCAUGCAAGUCGAGCGGCAAGGGGGAGCAAUCCCCCCUAGAGCGGUGGACUGGUGAGUAACACGUGGGUGACCUGCCUUUGUCAUGGGGAUAGCCAUUAGAAAUAGUGGGUAAUACCGAAUACGCUUGUGCACGUGAGGUGUACAAGGAAAGGCGCUACGGCGCCGGACGAAGAUGGGCCCGCGUCCCAUUAGCUAGUUGGUGAGGUAACGGCCCACCAAGGCGAUGAUGGGUAGCCGGCCUGAGAGGGUGUACGGCCACACUGGGACUGAGAUACGGCCCAGACUCCUACGGGAGGCAGCAGCUAAGAAUAUUCCGCAAUGGACGAAAGUCUGACGGAGCGACGCCGCGUGGAUGACGAAGGCCGAAAGGUUGUAAAAUCCUUUUGCUGGGGAAGAAUAACCAUGGGAGGGAAUGCCCGUGGGAUGACAUGAACCGGCGAAUAAGCCCCGGCUAACUACGUGCCAGCAGCCGCGGUAACACGUAGGGGGCGAGCGUUGUUCGGAAUUACUGGGCGUAAAGGGCAUGUAGGCGGUUUUGUAAGCCUGACGUGAAAUACCAUGGCUCAACCAUGGCACUGCGUUGGGAACUGCGAGACUUGAAUCAUGGAGAGGGAGCUGGAAUUCCAGGUGUAGGGGUGAAAUCUGUAGAUAUCUGGAAGAACACCAGUGGCGAAGGCGAGCUCCUGGCCAAUGAUUGACGCUGAGGUGCGAAAGUGUGGGGAUCAAACAGGAUUAGAUACCCUGGUAGUCC
rnacentral:rRNA from 1 species